UUUCUUGUUUGGAUAUGCCCUACCUUUGAAGGUUAAGCUGUGCUCUGCUUUCAGGUGCUCAUGUCCCCCUAUCACCCGCUCUCAUGAUAGCAGAUUGGAUGCUGUUGCUUAUGGCAUGGUGUUGCUCUUUCAGAAGAUCUCCAUCCACAUGGCAUACUUCUGCAGGUUUCAGCUCUCAGGAGGCUUUUCCCUGCUCUGGUCUCACACCUGAGCAGGAAGGCAGAACUGACCAGGUCCAAGAGCUUGCUGAAACUUAGCUCUGUACCAGCCAGUCUGUGGUCUCCUUUUGACACUGCUGUGCCUCUGACUAAAGGAAUCUCAUCAAAUCAAGUCAAGUCAUAAAGACCCAUCACAGCAAGGUGAAAACUUGGCCCAAAGAUUAAGUGCUUUGCUGACCUUCAGAAAAUGUGAAGCAGAUACAGAUGAUGAACUCAAGUCACCUGGCGUCCUGUUAGAUCUUCUCUUACCCAAGCUGCCAGCCUGCUUUGUGGGAAACUCAGCAAGAAACAUGGGUAAUGAACCUGCCCAAGUGCAUGGAAGAAUGGAUCUGCUGCUAAACAGCAAGUAAUUCUUUAGAUUUAAGAAAUAACAUAACUUGUAAGGAGGAAGUUUACAAAAUAUGUCAUCUGAAGAUACUGCCAUGUUUAAUGCAUUUGGUGCCAAUGAUUUGCUUUCCCUUGCUAUGCUGUUUACUGAGCAGCUGGUGCAGAGCUGUUGAGCUUGCUAUUGAAGAUGAAAGGCUGGUUGUUUUUCAAAGCCCUUUGUGUUUUUUUACUCCUAACUGGAGCUGUCAGUGCAGAUGCUUUUUAUUUCCUUUAUAACUGGAGGUCUGAAGUCCCUUCUCUAAAGAUUUCCUCAAUUCAAAGGAAGACUUCUUUUGCUCUCAGUCCCCAAAGAGUUGGAGUGUCUUUGCUCUUUUGUUUGGGCUGAAGACUCCACAGGCAAUGGCAGCACCAUCGAAGGCAUGCUGAAAACCUUUAACCUCCAGACAGCCAGUGUCCCAUCUGAAGCUCCUUUGAUGGGGGCUUAAGGAAUUCAGUUUGUCCUGAUUGUUUCUGUGGCCUGGGAAUGAGAACACUUCUCUUGAACUAUAGAUGCAGUGAAAAUUUUCUGGUGAUUAUUGUGUUUAUAGUAGUAGAUAAAAGAUGCUGUUUCCUCCCCUAAAAUAUUGUCAGAGAAGAAGAGUUAGAUGCUGUACAAACCUCCACAAAGAGAUGCUUACUGAAGUUGUUUAAAAGCCAAGUAAUCAAGCUAUGAGAGGUCAAGUAAUUUACCCAAGGUUGUGAAAGGGUGAUGAGACACAGCUGAGAAUUGAAACCAAGGUCUUGCUUUGAUACCUUAACAACUUAAUUUGCCUGUUAUGGUGCCAUCUCUUACACACUGAAACAGGCUGAAUUACAGGAUUUUCUUUCUUUCAUAUAGUCUGUCAGUUGGUGUUUCUGUUACUUUGGUGGAGGAGCUAUCUUAGAAAUCUGUAUGAUUAGUCAUUUUCCCUCGCCCAAAAAAAUUCAGCCAAUGGGUUUCUCUCAGAGUGGAAAUCUAAAGAGCAAUGCCUAUCACACCCCUUUCAAGCACAUGGUUUUCCCUCUCAGCCUGCUCCAGCAGAGCUGUCAGUCAGACUGAUGCUCCUCAAUAGGUACAUAGCCCAAUUGGCAAGCAGUCUGUGUAAAUCUGGUAACAAAGCCAUACCAAAAAGUACUGGAUCCUGAGUGUUCUCCAAAGCUCUCCCAUCAGUGCAUUCUAGUGACUUCUGACUGAUGACAUGCUCUUCAGAUAAAUGUACUUUUCGUCUAUGAAUGUUUUCUGUAAACGUGAAAUCAUAAAAGUGACUUCAAUUGGUGUUUCCCAGGUUGCACUGUAGUCCUGCUGCUGACACCCCUCUUGCAGUCCACAUGGUAUAACUGGUGAGGAGCUGCAGUUGAGCUGCUUAUGAGUUGGGUGGGGUGGUAAAAUUCACCCAACUACUGUCACCUUAGCUGAGUCAGAGAGUAGCAGUCCCACAGUCACAGUGUUCACUGUUGACUAGAGAGGGCUUACUGUCCUUGCUGAGCAGUUUGAGCACUGAGCAAAGCGUGAAUUGAUUCUGAAUGUGUUGAAACCAGUGCAGGAAUGCCUCUGGAUAUAUUUCCAGCUUAAUAUUUCCCAUUUAUCAGAAAGGAUCACUGAGAGAUCCAAGCAGGUAUCUGCUUGCUAUUGUAAGAUGUUUCCUUUCCUGCUUUAUAAAGGAGCUUCUUUUUCCUGUGCAUCCACACAUGAGCUACUGCUUUGCUGGUAGUGAUUACAGAGAUGAAGUGAGAAAUACCUAAGCAUGAGGCAGGCAACACAGCUACCAAAGAAGACUUGUGACCUGCAUCUUGCAUAUCAGAUCUCGAGAGAAUUGUGUAAAGAGGAAUUAAAAUGGACAUGACUACCAUUGAAGGUGACUGCAUCUUAGCAGGGAGUAUAGUUCUUCCUCUUCUUAUUUGGCCAAAAUGUACUGUAUUGUUAUAAAAAUCAGUCACUAAACCUGAAAAACUAGCAUUAGUUAGAUCAGAAGUCUGCACAGAGCUGGAAAAUUAAUGUGUCUUUUAUGUACUAGAGCAAUACCCUUGCUUUGCAUUCUCAGACAUUUUGCUUUCCCUACAUGAUUCUGUUACCAACUUUGCUGAUUUCUACUUUAAAAAGGUUUUGUUGAUUUUUAUUUUGUAAAUUUUAACCUCUUCAAAAAAGAUCCCAGGUGCACUAAAUAUGUCACCUCCUGCUGCAGAACCUGUUUGGCUUGAUAAUUAAUAGAUUGAUCACUGCUGGCAAUAGGUACACUAGUCAAAAUUGUACAUAACUGUUCUCUAUACUAAUGCAAUAAAAGUGGGUCUGCUUUUACA